rnacentral:rRNA from 1 species
CGGUGUUUAACUGGCGUGAUGUGGGACGUCCUACCGGUGGGCUUAGCCUCGCGAGGGGCGGCCCAACUAAUAUCCCGUCGCGGUGCUCUUUACUGAGUGUCGAGUCGGGCCGGUACGUUUACUUUGAACAAAUUAGAGUGCUUAAAGCAGGCUAUCCUCGCCUGAAUACUGCGUGCAUGGAAUAAUGGAAUAGGACCUCGGUUCUAUUUUGUUGGUUUUCGGAACCCCGAGGUAAUGAUUAAUAGGGACAGAUGGGGGCAUUCGCAUUGCGACGUUAGAGGUGAAAUUCUUGGAUCGUCGCAAGACGGACAGAAGCGAAAGCAUUUGCCAAAAAUGUUUUCAUUAAUCAAGAACGAAAGUUAGAGGUUCGAAGGCGAUCAGAUACCGCCCUAGUUCUAACCAUAAACGAUGCCAGCUAGCGAUCCGCCGAAGUUCCUCCGAUGACUCGGCGGGCAGCUUCCGGGAAACCAAAGCUUUUGGGUUCCGGGGGAAGUAUGGUUGCAAAGCUGAAACUUAAAGGAAUUGACGGAAGGGCACCACCAGGAGUGGAGCCUGCGGCUUAAUUUGACUCAACACGGGAAACCUCACCAGGCCCAGACACCGGAAGGAUUGACAGAUUGAUAGCUCUUUCUUGAUUCGGUGGGUGGUGGUGCAUGGCCGUUCUUAGUUGGUGGAGCGAUUUGUCUGGUUAAUUCCGAUAACGAACGAGACUCUAGCCUGCUAAAUAGGCGUACCUUAUGGUAUCGCGAAGGCCCCCGGCUUCGGCCGGUGGGUUUUUACUACCAACGUACAAACAAAUCUUCUUAGAGGGACAGGCGG